CUACGGGAGGCUGCAGUGAGGAAUAUUGCGCAAUGGGGGCAACCCUGACGCAGCGACGCCGCGUGAGUGAGGAAGGCCCUCGGGUCGUAAAGCUCUGUCAAGAGGAAAGAAGUGCAUAGUAGUUAAUACCUGCUAUGCUUGACGGUACCUCUAAAGGAAGCACCGGCUAACUCCGUGCCAGCAGCCGCGGUAAUACGGAGGGUGCAAGCGUUGUUCGGAAUCACUGGGCGUAAAGGGCGCGCAGGCGGCCUGGUAAGUCAGAUGUGAAAGCCCACGGCUUAACCGUGGAAGUGCAUUUGAAACUGUCAGGCUUGAGUACCAGAGGGGAAAGUGGAAUUCCCGGUGUAGAGGUGAAAUUCGUAGAUAUCGGGAGGAAUACCGGUGGCGAAGGCGACUUUCUGGCUGAGUACUGACGCUGAGGCGCGAAAGCGUGGGGAGCAAACAGGAUUAGAUACCCGGGUAGUC
rnacentral:rRNA from 1 species